UAUAAGCACGGUGUCGGUCGAGUGACGAAAAGUGCUACAAAAGUGCCGGAAUUUUACCCCGCCUUGCCACCCGCAGGCAGCACUGCCCUAAGCUUCUGCUAUAAUCACAAUAAAACUACACGAAUUGAGCGAAUAGCCAUCAAGCAGCAUAUUUUCUCCUCAUUGAACUGUCAAAACACAACACAACAGUUUUAGGAAAGAGGAACGAUUUUUAUUGGCUUGAUCGAACUCCCGAACUGCAGAGUAGACAGAUAGUACAGGAUUAUUUCACAUUGCCUUCCACCGCUCCACCGACAGCAGUAAAUACAGGU